UAUUAAAAAAUUAUCUAUUUGUAUUAUUAAAAACUGGACGGAAUAACCAGAUGUUGACAUGUGAUGUGCCACAUCUAUGUCAUACUAAUGUAUAGAAACCAAUUUUAAAUAGUAAAAAUAGAUAUAAUUUUUAAUA
rnacentral:pre_miRNA from 1 species